rnacentral:rRNA from 1 species
GAGUUUGAUCAUGGCUCAGAACGAACGCUGGCGGCAUGCCUAACACAUGCAAGUCGAACGAGAUCUUCGGAUCUAGUGGCGCACGGGUGCGUAACGCGUGGGAAUCUGCCUUGGGGUACGGAAUAACAGUUAGAAAUGACUGCUAAUACCGUAUGAUGUCUUCGGACCAAAGAUUUAUCGCCCUGAGAUGAGCCCGCGUAGGAUUAGCUAGUUGGCGGGGUAAAGGCCUACCAAGGCGACGAUCCUUAGCUGGUCUGAGAGGAUGAUCAGCCACACUGGGACUGAGACACGGCCCAGACUCCUACGGGAGGCAGCAGUGGGGAAUAUUGGACAAUGGGCGAAAGCCUGAUCCAGCAAUGCCGCGUGAGUGAUGAAGGCCUUAGGGUUGUAAAGCUCUUUUACCCGGGAAGAUAAUGACUGUACCGGGAGAAUAAGCCCCGGCUAACUCCGUACCAGCAGCCGCGGUAAUACG